CGCAGACAUGCAAGCCCGGAGGCGCUUCAGAAGGAAGGAGGAGAGGAGGAGGAGGAGGAGGAGGCUGCGUGCUGGGAGAGGCAGCCCCGGCUCUCAGCGCUGCCCCGGCCGCCUUUGAGCGCAGCCAGCGGAGGCGUUUGAUCUCCAGCCGAGCCCUCGGUGUUGCUGUGAUGGGGGAGGAAUCAGGCUGGACGUGCUGCUCUGCCUUGUUCCUCGGAGCAGUUUUCAAUCCCAAAACCAGCACAGAGAAGUGUCACUGUCACCAGUGCCCCAGGUGCCAGCCAGGUUGCAGCCUCUGGAAGCUCUGAGAGUGCAGAACUUUUGGCAUCCCCCAAAUCCCAGCCCAUCCAGCGUGGCCUCCUCCUGCUCUGCCGAACCCGAGCGUGCCUGGGCGAACGCGGAGCUCUGUUAAAAUUUCAUGGGCUCUGGGUAUCCGGGGGCCUGUCAGGAGAAACGCUGGAGUCUGGGGAAUGCAGAGCCUCCCCUGAACCGGAGGAAUGCUGGAAGAGACGACACGCCUGGCAGAGAACGCCACGCCUUCAAAGCUUGACUCAAGAAAUGCUCUAAAAACCUCUUUAGGGCCUUUUAGAACUUAGGAAAAGCUGAUUAAAAAAGAUGGGGAGAGACUUUCCGCACAGGCAGGUGAUGCCAGGACAAGUGGAGAAGCAGAUCUGUGUACUGGAGGAUGAUGUAAAGCCUGAGGAGUCCAGGGGAUGCUAAUCCCAGUGAAAGGGAGCUGUGCCCUUGUUAGGAAUCAAAUGUUUCCCAGGGCGUUAAUUCCUGUCUAAUUAAGAGCUCCAGAGUUCCACGGAGGGCUGGUUUCAGCUGGUUCUCAGCCCUCCAUGGAAAUCAUGUUUUCCAACAUCCCUAGCACCGUCCUCAGGAGGUGUCCCUGGAGUUAAAUCCUCCAGACAGACGGAGGUUUUUAAAAAAUGCAUCCCGAGUGCCUCAUCGGAUGAGCAGGAAAGUGGGACAGGCACGGCCAGCGCUUCCUUCCCGCUGUCCCCGGGCUCCUGGGGCUGCUGGGACACCCCGGACCCCCCGAGCCAUCCGUGCCCCACCUCAAACCCAGCUCUGGGGAGCGAUUCUGUCUCCCAAACUAUUCCAUCAUUACUGGGAUCUUUCCAUUUGCUCUGACAGGGGUUUGUGAGCUAAAAGGAUUUAAAAAAAGGGCUGCAGGAGGGAGCUGUGCAGUGAGUGUCCCUGGAAUUCCCAGGAUUGAUAAACACCGAUCCAAAUCACCAGGGAAACCCGUGUUUUCACCUCAUUUUUUCCCCUUUGUUCCUCUCUCUAAUGAAUCCUUUGCUGGGAUGUCCCUGUCGCUCCCUGCUCCUGAGGCUUCCCAGGAUUUAUUCCUGGCAUUCCCUGAUCGCCGGGAUUAAGAGGCUCAGGAUGGAGUGUUGUGACAGGAAGCAAUUAUAUGCAAAUAAGAAGCUGCGCAAGUGUGAGUAAACAUUAGGGGUUGUUUUUUUCCUGUUGAACCUCCCGUGAUUUAAAAGCCAUUAAGGGCGCAGCCAGCGCUCUUUGUCAGCAGUUUCUUGGCGCUCCGGCAGCUCUCGCAUCCUUCCACAGCAUCGGGGACUUCCAGGGCUCGGGGCCUCCCUCGGAGCAGCGAUCCAAGAUUGAUCCUCCCGUCCCGCCCUAAGCAGUUGGUCAAACAUUUGUCUCUGGCACCUGGGGACGUGUGUGAGCAAAGCUGCAAUUUAGACCGAGGAAAUCACCGAGAAAACAAAUCCUGAGCCCCCAUCCAGCCAUUCCUAACACGUCACCCUCCUGACAGUGCUGCCAGAGAGCCAGGAAAAAAGCUCCAGCCUUGAAAUUUUUCUAGCAGAAGACAAAUGAGGGAGAUUCAUGUCUCUGUUGGCACUACAUUGUUUUGCUCAGCUGGCUGCAGAGCAAAUAAGAUGCGGUGUUGCAUUGAUUUGUAACCCAGGAGCUGUCCUGGCAAAUGGAUGGGCUGGGGAAAACUUCAUUUGGGGCUUAAAUUGGAGAAAGCAGCAGGCAAAGGGUGCCCAGAGCCUCGGGAUCCCACUGUGCCUCCUCCCUGGGGCAUGAGGGGAACAAGUUCUUCCUUUUUUGGGGGAAGCUUUUCCCUAUGGAUCUGUGGGAUCUUUGCUGUGCCUCUGCACCCCCAUCACUGCUUGCUGCCCUGGUGUUUGGACACGAUCCCAAGAGCAAUGGAAACCAAACCCAUUUCCAGCCAUUUCCACUCAUUUCCAGUGGUUUUGGGGAAUGGGAAUUCUCCUUUGCAAGGCUGUGCCCUGCCAGCCUCGGGCUCACCCCAUGGGGAGGUGCCAGGAGCAGGGUGACACCUCCUGAUGUCACCCACGGCAUCUUCAGUGGGCAAAAAUCCAGGGAAAGCUGGAUCCAUCCCUGUGGGCCGUGCCCAGGGAGGGUCUGGAAGGGGCAGAGGGGAAAAUGCUGCUUGUUAGCAUUAAUAAACGUAAAACACAGAAAUAAAAAUAAAAUAAAUAGGAAAACAUCAAACUAAUGCCCAGGAACAAUGCGUCACAAGGCUGGCAGCUCCCCCAGGUCUCACUGCAAAGAAUUGGAGUGUCCAAAUGAGUCUCCUCCGAAGCCACCUCCAUUCCAGAGCACCAGGGAAGAGGAGGGCAGAGGGAGGAUGAGGAGGCACGAGGCUGUUCAUCACUUCUGCAGCUGCUCCCCUUCCAUCAGCCCUGAUCCCUCAGACGCAUCCACUGCCUAAGAAAAAUCCCCCACUGCUCUCUGCAGACAGGAGGCAAUUUCCAAGUCCCAGCGAUUCCCAAGAAAAGUGAUGCUGGCUGUGCCCUAAUGGAAAGGCAGCCAGUUUUAUAGCAGAAUGCAAAUGAAAAGGUAUAAAUAAACAAUCGCUCACGAAUAAGUGCUUGCCUUUAAUGAAUAUUUCAUAUACAAAAGGAGUCAUUGACAUUUUGCUGGAUUGCUUCAAUUAGCUCUUGAGCCUCAUGUUCAUGCAAAUAAUAAGCUUGCUUUUCAUAAUGCUUUGUUAAUCUGCUUCAUAGUGUGAAUUUAUACAGUAAUAUAUCACCCAGACCUCCUGCUGGAGCCUUUAUUGGAUAUAAAUGACUUAGUAAUUGCUAUUGAUCAUUAAAGGAGUGUGGUGUUAUUUUGGAAUUACAAUGUGGGGGAUCUUUGCAGGACUGAGGGAUCUGGCUGCUCGGGCUGGUUUAUAUUCAGGGCAGUGACUAAUGGGUCCUUGGGAGGAAAAAGUCAAAGUGUGCCAAGAUUGAGGCUGGGGAAAAACACUGCUGGAGUCAUUGCUGCCUCCCCGUCACGAAACGCUCCCGGCGACGUAUCCAGAAUAUAUCUCAGCAUAUUCCAUUUCACGCAUUGAUCUCCAUCCCAACUCCAGCCUCGCUAAGAUUAGCCAGGAAAAUAUUGUGGCAGGCAGAAGCAGGCUGGGCCUGGGGUGAAAACACAGCCUGGCAGGUCCCUGAGCGUGGUGACCGUGUCAGGGUGAGCAGGGACAAAGCCACCAGGGCCCUUCCCAAGGCUGCCACAACAAGCUCAGGAGGCUGCAGGUCUUUAAUCCAGGCUGGCUGUUGUGGUGGGUGAUUAAAGCAAGGGGUUUGCAGCCCCCCAGGCUCUGCAGUGUUGGGUGUAUUGAUCCCAGCUCCUGCUCCGUGUUCCCAACAGGGAAUUCGGCCUCAGCCUCCUCCUCCCCAUCACUUGCUGGUUGUCUUUGCAGCUUCCAACAUUAAAACC